UGAGAGGAAAGAUUCUUAAUAAAGCGAAGCAGAUUAUACUUAAUGUUUACAGCAGACUGAUAGAACAGAAUUUGGUUAAGUCUACUAUUUAUAUCUUAGAUUUGAUGGCAGAAUUAACUGGCAUCUUGGUAAUGAACUGUUUAGAAUAUCAGGAAGAAAAUGAAUGAAGGCACAGUAUCGACAUGAAACAAGUCUUUGAAAUGAAAAAUCAUGAAAGAUUAAGUAAUUUGAUGAUUCUACUAAAUCUGCCAUUCUGCACGAAAGCACACCAUUAUUUUUUAUGUAAUGAAUGCUCCCGCCAUAAGUCAUCUACUGCUAGGCAUAAAUGCCAACGUCUUACCAAUGACAUUAUAGAGCACACUCUUUACUACUUACUCCACCACCUUGAUUUUCAUAUAAAGUGUCAAUGCAAUUC
rnacentral:lncRNA from 1 species